rnacentral:rRNA from 1 species
UACGAAGGGGGCUAGCGUUGCUCGGAAUCACUGGGCGUAAAGCGCACGUAGGCGGCUUUCUAAGUCAGGGGUGAAAUCCUGGAGCUCAACUCCAGAACUGCCUUUGAUACUGGGGAUCUCGAGUCCGGGAGAGGUGAGUGGAAUUGCGAGUGUAGAGGUGAAAUUCGUAGAUAUUCGCAAGAACACCAGUGGCGAAGGCGGCUCACUGGCCCGGAACUGACGCUGAGACGCGAAAGCGUGGGGAGCAAACAGGG